rnacentral:rRNA from 1 species
AUUGAACGCUGGCGGCAGGCUUAACACAUGCAAGUCGAGCGGGGUGAUGGUGCUUGCACUAUCACUUAGCGGCGGACGGGUGAGUAAUGCUUAGGAAUCUGCCUAUUAGUGGGGGACAACAUCUCGAAAGGGAUGCUAAUACCGCAUACGUCCUACGGGAGAAAGCAGGGGAUCACUUGUGACCUUGCGCUAAUAGAUGAGCCUAAGUCGGAUUAGCGAGUUGGUGGGGUAAAGGCCUACCAAGGCGAAGAUCUGUAGCGGGUCGGAGAGGAUGAUCCGGCACACGGGGACUGAGACACGGCCCAGACUCCUACGGGGGGAAGCAGGGGGGAAUAUUGGACAAUGGGGGGAACCCUGAUCCAGCCAUGCCGCGUGUGUGAAGAAGGCCUUAUGGUUGUAAAGCACUUUAAGCGAGGAGGAGGCUCUUUUGGUUAAUACCCAAGAUGAGUGGACGUUACUCGCAGAAUAAGCACCGGCUAACUCUGUGCCAGCAGCCGCCGUAA